UGGGCCCUCCGCCCGGCCCCGCAGGCGCUGCCGUGCUGCUGCGGGAGCCGGGGCCCGAGCACCCGCUGCCUACGGCGGCGGCGGGCUGCUGUAUGAAGCCUGGCUUGGAUGGGGACAGUUCCGUUCCGUGGAGAUCCCGCCUGGUUUUACAGCUGCAGGGGCCAAGGGCGGUUCCCGGUCGGUCUGGAGUGACACCAGAUGCUGUUAACGGGACUCGAUUCACGAUGCUUUGAACGCGAAACCAAAUAUGUCCUGAAUUUUGCUCUUGGUAAUGCUCUUGGGGCGGUUACGCACUGAGCUUUCACCUAAAUAGCUGAUUUACCUAUUUGAGAACGUGCCCUGUGUUUUGCUGCUGUUCUACGGACUGACAAGGAUAAGACGGUAUCUUGUAUACACUUCUGCUUCGGAAGAAUCUGUUUGUGCUGUGAUUGAAAGUAAUCUCUUUGUGCACUAAAUUAAAUGUAGCCCACGGUAA